rnacentral:rRNA from 1 species
UACAGAGGUCUCAAGCGUUGUUCGGAUUCAUUGGGCGUAAAGGGUGCGUAGGCGGCGCGGUAAGUCGGGUGUGAAAUUUCGAGGCUUAACUUCGAAACUGCAUUCGAUACUGCCGUGCUUGAGGACUGGAGAGGAGACUGGAAUUUACGGUGUAGCGGUGAAAUGCGUAGAUAUCGUAAGGAAGACCAGUGGCGAAGGCGGGUCUCUGGACAGUUCCUGACGCUGAGGCACGAAAGCGUGGGGAGCAAAAGGG